rnacentral:tRNA from 1 species
GAAGGUAGAGCUCAGCGGUACAGAGCCUGCUUAGCAUGCACAAGGUCCUGGGUUCAAUUCCCAGUACCUCCA